GUGGGGAAUAUUGGGCAAUGGGGGCAACCCUGACCCAGCAAUGCCGCGUGAAGGAAGAAGGCUUUCGGGUUGUAAACUUCUUUUAUCAGGGAAGAGCAGAAGACUGUACCUGAUGAAUAAGCCACGGCUAACUACGUGCCAGCAGCCGCGGUAAUACGUAGGUGGCAAGCGUUGUCCGGAUUUACUGGGUGUAAAGGGCGUGUAGCCGGGAAGACAAGUCAGAUGUGAAAUGCAUGGGCUCAACCCAUGAACUGCAUUUGAAACUGUUUUUCUUGAGUAUCGGAGAGGCAAUCGGAAUUCCUAGUGUAGCGGUGAAAUGCGUAGAUAUUAGGAGGAACACCAGUGGCGAAGGCGGAUUGCUGGACGACAACUGACGGUGAGGCGCGAAAGCGUGGGGAGCAAACAGGAUUAGAUACCCGUGUAGUCC
rnacentral:rRNA from 1 species